rnacentral:rRNA from 1 species
AAUAGAUACCCUGGUAGUCCACGCCGUAAACGAUGAGUGCUAAGUGUUGGAGGGUUUCCGCCUUUCAGUGCUGCAGCUAACGCAUUAAGCACUCCGCCUGGGGAGUACGGUCGCAAGACUGAAACUCAAAGGAAUUGACGGGGGCCCGCACAAGCGGUGGAGCAUGUGGUUUAAUUCGAAGCAACGCGAAGAACCUUACCAGGUCUUGACAUCUCCUGACCGCCCUGGAGACAGGGUCUUCCCUUCGGGGACAGGAUGACAGGUGGUGCAUGGUUGUCGUCAGCUCGUGUCGUGAGAUGUUGGGUUAAGUCCCGCAACGAGCGCAACCCUUGGUUCUAGUUGCCAGCAUUCAGUUGGGCACUCUAGAGCGACUGCCGGCGACAAGUCGGAGGAAGGUGGGGAUGACGUCAAAUCAUCAUGCCCCUUAUGACCUGGGCUACACACGUGCUACAAUGGAUGGUACAAAGGGCAGCGAAGCGGCGACGCAUAAGCGAAUCCCAGAAAACCAUUCUCAGUUCGG